ensembl:lncRNA
AUGUUUCAUAUGAAGGUUCUGGAGUUCAUGAAGGUGAUUUCACUGUGUGUGUUGUGUGUGUCAGAUGCGGGCUGUGUGUCGACUGCUAACAACAGUGUUGAGUGGCUGCAGAAGAACUUUGGCCCGUUCUCUCAGUUUGUGCCUCUCACAGAUCUGCUCUCCAUCAACAGACUCUUUGAUCCCUUGGAGACCCUGGACAAUCUCACUCCAAAGCAGGUGGCUGGACUGAUGGUUGAAGAUCUACCUGGCCUACCAGAGAAGGAAGUCGUCAUCAAUUCAGUGUUCGACUAUCUGCUUGUGUCUCCUGUGGAGCGAGGACUUCGUGAUGUUCUUCAAAACCUGCUCUCAAUCUCACAGAUGGUAAAAUUUACACAGUUGUUCUCGAUGGCUCUUUGCAAACCCUAGUCUGAUGCCUCAGGGUUUCGUCUUUGCAUGUGGUUUGUCUUAAAUGAUAUUUAAAGUAAAUCUGCAGUGGUCAAAUACGUGAGUUUGAUGAAUCAUAUGUGUGACAACAGCACUGAUGCUUGUUUGUGUUUCUACAGGCCAUUAUUCCGUGCAGCUCCUACAUACUGAUGUAAGUGCAUUUGGUACAUGAUAUUGAGUCUCUGGCGUCUCUUGCACUGAGAUCUGCUGUAAUUCUGCUGUUCUUUCUCAGAUUCCAGAGGCUGUUUCAGGCUUUACCUUCCCUGCCUACAGAGGUGGAGACUUUGAUCUUGCACACAACUGGAGAACUCAAGCAGAAUGGAGCAAGAGGUUAUCCUUGAUCUUCCUCACUUCUUGCUGUUGAAUCCUCUAGAAGAUCAGCAUGUUUCUAAUUACUUCAGAUGGAAUUAAUUAAUAAAUGUUUGUCUUACUUUCAGACUGUUCACUUCCUGAACCUCCAACAGUAAGAGUUUGUUUUUAGCAUACGUUCCAUCUCUGUCUUGUUCAGUCCUACACAUUUCCUCACUAUGAUUCACUGUUUAAAACUUUUUCACGAAACUCAAAACACACGUUGCUUUAAACAUUUAUUUUUACAUUUUGUCUUUGACUUUCUUCUCCCUUUUUCAUCUGUUUCAGUGUCUGG